rnacentral:lncRNA from 1 species
AUGUCCCAUCCUCGUAUAAAUCCCCAGCAUGCUCUUCCCUCAAACCUGUUUGUUUCAGGGUCUUCACUCCCUGACAUGCUGUUAUUUGCUCAAGCACUGCACAUAGAACAUGACGUUGACCUGUGUCACUAUGACAAUCAAGCCUCUGAUGUAAGAGGAUUCCCCAGAUACAUUCCACAGCCACCUCUAAGUAGGCGCAGGCAGUGGAGGACACAAGGCUCCCAAGUGGGCCUGAGCCCACACAGGUCACACUCUCCCUGUCUGAGCAGCCCAGGAGGUUUUUUAGGAAGCCAGGCUCCUCCAGUGGCAGGAAGCUUCCGGGACCUGGAGAAUUUGGGCAGAGCAAGAUCGUCACAGGAUCAUCUAAAUUACUUACAUGCUUCAAAACUGGUUACAACCAGCCAGAUGUGGCAGAGAACUGGGCCUGUGAGGUUAUAUAAGAAGUCCAGGAGCAUGAGGCUGUCUUGUAUCUCCAGUUCCCACAGAACAAACGACAACCUCACAUCGUAAGUAAACAAGCAGAAACCUAAUUU